CCGUCUCUAUACAAUCGCUCUCAUAAUAAUCGUUUUUGUUUGAUUAUUAUUAUAUUAUUUAUUUAUUUUUGUGUUAUUUUUUUUACAGUCGGCGUUAUGGUAAAAUGGCAAAUAUAAGAUUUUUGCGAACCUUGGACUAAAUACUUAGCCAGUGUCAGUCAAGAAACGUGUAUUCUGCAGUAUACAUGUUAUACAUGCUAUAUGUCAGUGUGCAGCACCUGCAGUAAUCAUGAUAUUUUUUAGUGUUCGUACUUCAUAUCCUGCGUUACAAAUAACUUAAUAUUUUUUCUUCUUCAGUGUAGUAUAGUAAAUUCGAUUUACAAAAUAUUAUCGAAAUGAAUGAGUUGUUGUUCAAACUUACAUCUGUUUCCUGCGAGUUUAACCGUUCACGUGCGAAAUCCCAAUAUGUAUCGGAGUCCAACUCCUGGGAAGAAUAAUACGUAUGUGCGAGUCAUCACCUAGAAUCUAUGGUUAGUGGUGCAUUCAUUGCGGUUCCAGGACGACACAUGCAGGAACGAGUAUCAUCACAGCCAUCACGAUGUACUGCGUACAAUGAAAUAAAUAUUUCGCCUUUGUUCAUACAUUAUUUAUUUUUUUUACGGAAUUAAUUCCGUUUAAAAUAAUGUAUAGCGUUGCAGUAUGACAGACAUAAUGAUACCUAUGAUGAACAUUAGUUUAGUGAUUUACGUAUUAUUUAGACCACAACUAUACAGUUAUAAGUUAUAACACUUAUAAGUUAUAACUUACGACUAUUUGAAACCAAUUUGUGUUUUCGUAUGUGUCCGAUUAAACGCUAUUACACGUGAACGUACACGACGUAUUACGUGUAAGUUGAACACA